CUGGAAACCAUUGCACAUCUCUGAGUGUAUAAAAAGGAGAAUCCAAAGUAAAGCUGCUGCGCUGUGCAAACCAGCCAUGUGGUGAGUCUUUGUUUCUUACUCAACACCGACAUCUGGUGACCACACCGUGUAUCGCAUCAAUCGGCCCCUCGUUGAUCACGGGACGGACACAGAUGCAUCGGACGCCGCUGUAAUUCCAUCAGGACCCCGCGGCACCUGCGUGGUCCACCUGCUUCUGGACAGCCUCCGUUCCCCCAGAGAGGAGUCUCUGUGUCGGAUGAUUUGCUCUGCGCUCCGUUAGCCUGGGCCAAAUCUCAUGACUUUCCGGUGGAUGUGGACACUGCUUUUAGUCCGCACUUGUGGGAGGCAUUGGGCCACCGGGUCUUGGAAGUAACUAAAGGGGAUUCCACCGUGCCUCGACUUAUGCUUGUAUGGGGACUCCUGUCCCAUGUCUUCUGAGGCCACACCCAGGGGGACAGCGAGUCAAAAGUGGGGACCUCAGAGGGCCAGGAUGUUGCCUAUGGGGGCGCCAACACGCCAGGGGGAGGAUCACCAGACCGGGUGGCUGCCGGCUUUUUUCCAGCUCUGUGCAGACGGGCAGGGGGCAUGGGGACUCCCCGCAGAACCUAUCUCUAGUCUAGAAAUUAUAUUCCGCCAACAUAUCCUUGUCCCUACGAGUCUGUGAGGCAGACGUCUCCUCCUCCUGCAAAACCAACACCGCCGAGAGCAAUAGCUGCGUCUCAGCUGUGCCCAGGAGACGGCCCCUCCCUGUUUGCACCGCUUUCGACCUCUUCAUCGCCACUGGUGUCACCGAAACUAUCGCCGCCGAGACCAGCAGGUCGUUCUUCCCCUGCCCUGCAAAGAUCAGCUGGCGAGUGUCCUAGGGUGACGUUAUGAUGCUUCUAUCCCCAGUUGUCUAUUCUGUUUAUGCUGGAUAUUAUGUUCCGUGCCUUCAAGACUGGGUCUGAAAUCAGCCUGCUCACUCCCGCACAGACGGUGGGACACAGAGACGGGGCAGUAUUUAGAGCUGCUUUUGUUUUGGCUUUUAGCUUUUUGCUCUUGCUCCUGCUUUGCUCUUGCUUUUGCUUCUUCUUUGCUCUUGCUUUUGCUACUGCUUGUUUGUUAGUUCAGCUAGGCAGUCUGAAUUUUCCCUAGACUGCAUUUCUUUCCCUUUUCUUGGAACCACUCGAGACUGCUCUGGACUGGGACCUGGAAAACACCAAGAGUUUGCACCUUGUGGCCUGCAGCAGCCAUUCCCAGCGCCGGAGGGACCAUCCUAAGCCACAGUGGGAAGCUGACACCACACUAGAUCUGGGGGAAGGGGCCACAGAUGUCGGUCAAACAGUUAAUCCAGCAUCUGUGGAGGAGACACAGGUGGUUCAGGGAGACCAUGUUCCGCCACAAGGAGAGAUUCAAGCUUUUCCCGUGUAUAAGGCUGUCCCAAAUUCAGGACAUGCUGACAGGCAUGAUGUGAUUGCCUGGCCGGUGGUCCAAGAUUUGCAGGAGAAGGUUGCAAAAUAUGGCCUUGGCUCCGUACAAGUUAUGCAGAUUCUCAGAGUGCUAAACACAGACCUUCUUGCUCCAUUUGAUAUUAAACAUACUGCUCAGGCACUGUUCCAGCUUGUGCAAUUUGAGGUUUUUCUGGACAACUGGAGGCAGGCAGCUGAAAGGGUUGCAGCAGGCAAAAGGCUUUUGCCUCAGAGAGAUCCUAGGUUUUGUGUGGGGGUGGACGUUCUCCUCGGAGAACAGGCCUUUUCCAAUCCUGAUUUUCAGGCUACCUAGGAGUGCCGUUCUUGAGCAGAGUCAAAGGGUAGGAUUUAAUGCAUUGUUAAGAACUAUUGAAAUGGCCUCCCCCAGACCACGAUAUACGUCAAUAACUCAAGGAGCAGAUGAACCCUUUUUGCCAUUUGUUGAGAAGCUUGCAGCUGCCCUGGAGAAGCAGGUUGAGGAUGAUACCUUGAGGCAGGUUUUAUGCAAGCAGUUAGCUCAGGACAACACAAACAGUGAGUGUCAGAAGAUCAUAGAUGCUCUUCCAGGCGACCCGACGCUAACAAACAUGGUCAAUGCAUGUGUCAAGGUAGGUGCUGUAGACCAUAAAGUGUCUGCUCUGAUGGUUGCUUUACAGCCAGGCCAGAUAUCCUCAGGGGGUGGACAACAGAAGAGCAAAAAUAAAGGCAAGAAAAAGCAAGGAACACGCAAACAAACAGGACCAAGUACUGCUUUCUUGUGCUCUAGAUGCCUAAGGGCAGGUCAUUAUUCAACCCUAUGUAGGUCUAAAUAUCAUGCUAAUGGCCAAUCUUUGGAAGGUGUCAGAGCCCAGGACAUCCCUCUGAGGGGUCCUGGAUGAUCUGAGCCCCAGACAGGGGGCUUUGAAGCCCUGGCAGGGGGGUUGGAGACCCUGGCAUUCAGCCAAAGACCCCUGUGGCUUUGAGUUUGACCCAUGGAACAAAUUGCCACCUUUAUAUGAGGAAUUAAAGGUCACAAAAGUUUAGAUAGCAUAAUAGUAGUAGUUAUAGGGUGAAAAGAAAAAUUUUGAAGAAUUUUACUAUAGGGGUCUAGGAGGCAAGAUGGAGGAAUUUAGGCAUUGUCCUGUUCUUCUUCUUCCUAGCCUCCAUCUUCUUGGUGAUGGUAGCACUCUAGGAUUAGUGUAAAGUAGAAAGUCACUGUCUAACAUAGGUGAUAGGUAUUGGAACAUAACUGUAAAUAUCUAAUACGUAGUUUAUAGUAUAAAAGAUAACACCAGCCCCAUGGGAGGGGUGUGUGCCUCGGACUGACCUGCUGAACAGACCUCGGCAAGCCAGACAGAAAAAUGUUUCAGAUAAGAAAUAAUAAACAACCUUGAGAAUGCGAGCCGAAGACUUCUGACUCCUUCUUUGACAGCUGGGUUGGGGAAAAGAGACUUUUAACACACUUCGGGGUCACCUUGACCAGAGGAGAUCCCGAGAGGUAGGCCCCGGGAAAUGGGAAGAUGAGCGCACAGGGGAAUUGUGCUCUGACACAAGUGAUUCUUCAGGGCAUGACACCGGCUCAGCCCUGCCCAGCCAUCUCAGAGGCAGCACCCAUGGCUCCGCCGGGGUGGAUGUACAUACCGCAACCGGAGUCAUCUUAGAAUCCUGUCGUGAACAUAGGGUUCCUUUGGAUGUGUUCAGACCUUUGGGACAAGGACUGAGUGCACUGCUUGUGGCAAGAUCUAGUGUCACCCACCAAGGAAUCUUUGUUCACCCAGGUGUCAUUGAUUCUGGCUUUUUGGGUCAAAUUUGUGCUACAGUUUCCACACCCAUCCCUCCUGUCACUAUUCUGGCAGGGACUUGGAUUGCCCAAUUUGUGCCUUUUCAGUCAUGUGUCCCCAGGACUGACCAGUGGAUUCGUGGGAAUGGUGGCUUCGGAUCCACGGGACUGCCACAAGUCCUCUGGUCUGCGGAUAUUUCUGCUCGGCGACUCCAGAUGGUGUGUACCCUGACCCUACCAAAUGCCUGCCCACCGAGGAUCAGGCUUCAAGGUUUGAUCGACAGAGGGGAGGAUGUGAUAGUCAUCUCCCUCUCUGCGUGGCCUCCUACGUGGCCUUUGGCUCCUGUAGGGUCAGCCAUCAAAUGGUUAGGGGGUGCAGCAUGUGCAUUGGUAAGCCAAUGGUCUGUGCUGAUCGGUGACACGAAUGGGCAGACAGCUGCAUUUCGGCCCUAUGUCAUUCCAACUCUGAUCAAUUUAUGGAGGCAGGAUGUAUUGGCUGCCCCUGGGGGGUGCGAAUUGGGAUGGAUUUUUGAUUGGGCUCACUGCGUUGAAGGGCAGAACAUAUUCUACACUGCCUUUACGGUGGCUGGUGGACAAACCCAUUUGGGUUCACUAGUGGCCCCUGACAAAAGAAAAAUUGGUCUCUCUUCAUGAAUUGGUUCAGGAACAACUUCAACAGGAACACAUUGAGCCUUCUACUAGUCCCUGGAAUACUCCUGUCUUUGUGAUAAAGGAAAAAUCUGGGAAAUGGAGGUUGUUACAGGACCUCCGGAAAAUUAAUGCAGUGAUGGAAAGCAUGGGGGCAUUGCAGCUUGGUAUGCCCUCACCCAUCAUGAUCCCUGCGGGAUGGGAGAUCUUGAUUGUUGAUUUGAAGGAUUGUUUUUCACAAUUCCUUUGCAUCCUGAUGACAAACCAAAGUUUGCCUUCACCGUGCCUUCAAUCGACAAACAAACAAACAAAAAAAACCAAACAAACAAAAAAACCCAACAAAAAAGCGGGGGAUGCCUGGAGAAACCCCACAAAGUCCAUUGGAAAAAGCUCUAUAUAAAACCACUGUAUAGUGCCACAGAAUUCAGAGAACCCUGUCAUUUUAAAUAAUUUUCUCUUGUUGCAUUCUUCAGGUGAGACACACCUGCCUUGAGCAAAAGUCCAGAUACGGGACCUAGCCACUAAUAAGUGGGAGGGCCUGUACGACCUUAUCACUUGGGGCUGCGGGUAUGCAUGUGUUUCCACAGAUAGUGGAGUAUGAUGGGUACCUGCAAGGUGUGUCCACCCGAUUUGCGACACCAAAAACAGAACGUGGCAAACAGGCAACCUCCGAACGAUGAUCAAGAUGAUGACCAUCAAUCAGAUGGCCCCUCCAUGAGUGGGGAGUGAACAUUUCAUCCUUUCUUUGCUUCUGAAAAAGGACUGUUAGCAGGCUAAGACUGUUGGUUCUUUGAACAAAUUAAUGAUAAGUUGUUACUAUAUUAGACUUAGUAUUGAGAUUGUAUUAGAAUAGGUAACCAAUUUUAAGGUUGAUAGUGUAUUUCUUAUAGAAGAGAAUCACAAGAUCCGAUCUCUCAGACCAUUUUAAAUCCGCGUCCAAUUGAGGUUCUGACUGACAACUAGCAACUGCUAGAGGAACCUCUGGAGCUGUGUUUGUUCUCCUUCCUGCAAGGGGCCCCUCAGAGGACUACAAACACCACCUCCUCCUUUAAACAAAUAGGGGGACCUGUGGAUGUGACAGCCUGGUCAGAGAGCGAAAAAACUAGAUAAGUUUUCCCAGGAUUGGUUUGUGAGACUUUAGGGAGUUGCAGAGAAACAAUGAUAGCUUGUUAUUAUAAACAACCUGCAGGUGGUGGUUUCCUACUCUCUGUUUCCCUGUUUUUCUCAAAGAUUGUUUAUAAGAAAGGUGUUUUUGUUAAUUAGCCAAGCAGGUGAAAUGUGUUGAUUAAUUGACCAAUGUGGUCUGUCUGUAUAUAA